rnacentral:rRNA from 1 species
AGUGAACGCUGGCGGUAGGCCUAACACAUGCAAGUCGAACGGCAGCACAGUAAGAGCUUGCUCUUACGGGUGGCGAGUGGCGGACGGGUGAGGAAUACAUCGGAAUCUACUUUUUCGUGGGGGAUAACGUAGGGAAACUUACGCUAAUACCGCAUCCGACCUACGGUUGAAAGCAGGGGAUCUUCGGACCUUGCGGGAUUGAAUGAGCCGAUGUCGGAUUAGCUAGUUGGCGGGGUAAAGGCCCACCAAGGCGACGAUCCGUAGCUGGUCUGAGAGGAUGAUCGGCCGCACUGGAACUGAGACACGGUCAAGACGACUACGGGAGGCAGCAGUGGGGAAUAUUGGACAAUGGGGGCAAGCCUGAUCCAGCCAUACCGCGCGGGUGAAGAAGGCGUUCGGGUUGUAAAGCCCUUUUGUGGGGAAAGAAAAGCAGCAGGUUAAUACCCCGCUGUUCUGACGGUACCCAAAGAAUAAGCACCGGCUAACUUCGUG